AUUGAACGCUGGCGGAAUGCUUUACACAUGCAAGUCGAACGGCAGCAUAGGUGCUCGCACCCGAUGGCGAGUGGCGAACGGGUGAGUAAUACAUCGGAACGUGCCCAGUCGUGGGGGAUAACGUAGCGAAAGUUACGCUAAUACCGCGUACGAUCUAAGGAUGAAAGCGGGGGACCGUAAGGCCUCGCGCGAUUGGAGCGGCCGAUGUCAGAUUAGGUAGUUGGUGAGGUAAAGGCUCACCAAGCCGACGAUCUGUAGCUGGUCUGAGAGGACGACCAGCCACACUGGGACUGAGACACGGCCCAGACUCCUACGGGAGGCAGCAGUGGGGAAUUUUGGACAAUGGACGCAAGUCUGAUCCAGCCAUUCCGCGUGCAGGACGAAGGCCUUCGGGUUGUAAACUGCUUUUGUACGGAACGAAAAAGCUCUUACUAAUACUAGGAGUCCAUGACGGUACCGUAAGAAUAAGCACCGGCUAACUACGUGCCAGCCGCCGCAGUAA
rnacentral:rRNA from 1 species